rnacentral:rRNA from 1 species
UACGUAGGGGGCGAGCGUUGUCCGGAAUCAUUGGGCGUAAAGAGCGCGUAGGCGGUCCGGUAAGUCCGCUCUGAAAGCCCGGGGCUCAACCCCGGGAGGCGGGCGGAUACUGUCGGGCUAGAGUCCGGAAGAGGCGAGUGGAAUUCCUGGUGUAGCGGUGAAAUGCGCAGAUAUCAGGAGGAACACCGAUGGCGAAGGCAGCUCGCUGGGACGGUACUGACGCUGAGGCGCGAAAGCGUGGGGAGCAAACAGG